GGAGGAAAAGAAACCAACAGGGAUUGCCCUAGUAACGGCGAGUGAAGCGGCAACAGCUCAAAUUUGAAAGCUGGCUCUCGGGCCCGCAUUGUAAUUUGCAGAGGAUGCUUCUGGCGACGCGCCUUCCGAGUUCCCUGGAACGGGACGCCAUAGAGGGUGAGAGCCCCGUCCGGCCGUGCGCCUAGCCUCUGUGAAGCUCCUUCGACGAGUCGAGUAGUUUGGGAAUGCUGCUCAAAAUGGGAGGUAUACGUCUUCUAAAGCUAAAUACCGGCCAGAGACCGAUAGCGCACAAGUAGAGUGAUCGAAAGAUGAAAAGCACUUUGAAAAGAGAGUUAAAAAGUACGUGAAAUUGUUGAAAGGGAAGCGCUCAUGACCAGACUUGGGCUGGCCCGAUCAUCCGGCGUUCUCGCCGGUGCACUCGGGCCGCCCAGGCCAGCAUCAGCUUUCGCCGGGGGAUAAAGGCGGCGGGAAUGUGGCUCCCUCGGGAGUGUUAUAGCCCGCCGUGCAAUACCCUGGUGGGGGCUGAGGUUCGCGCGUAUGCACGGAUGCUGGCGUAAUGGUUAUCAGCGACCCGUCUUGAAACACGGACCAA
rnacentral:rRNA from 1 species